GGUCAAGAGCGACCAGCGAUACGCCCUCCGCGUGCUGGUCCGGCAACCGCGCCACCCCGCGCACGGUGCCCCAGGAGGAAGACCGGCCCGCCACGACCGUGGCGGGAAGGAGCGAAG
rnacentral:ncRNA from 1 species